GAUGAACGCUGGCGGCGUGCCUAAUACAUGCAAGUCGAGCGAACAGAUGAGGAGCUUGCUCCUCUGACGUUAGCGGCGGACGGGUGAGUAACACGUGGAUAACCUACCUAUAAGACUGGGAUAACUUCGGGAAACCGGAGCUAAUACCGGAUAAUAUAUUGAACCGCAUGGUUCAAUAGUGAAAGACGGUUUUGCUGUCACUUAUAGAUGGAUCCGCGCCGCAUUAGCUAGUUGGUAAGGUAACGGCUUACCAAGGCGACGAUGCGUAGCCGACCUGAGAGGGUGAUCGGCCACACUGGAACUGAGACACGGUCCAGACUCCUACGGGAGGCAGCAGUAGGGAAUCUUCCGCAAUGGGCGAAAGCCUGACGGAGCAACGCCGCGUGAGUGAUGAAGGUCUUCGGAUCGUAAAACUCUGUUAUUAGGGAAGAACAAAUGUGUAAGUAACUAUGCACGUCUUGACGGUACCUAAUCAGAAAUCCACGGCUAACUACGUG
rnacentral:rRNA from 1 species